AUUGAACGCUGGCGGCAUGCCUAACACAUGCAAGUCGAGCGGAUGAAGGUAUCUUGCUCCUGGAUUCAGCGACGGACGCGUGAGUAAUGCCUAUGAAUCUGCCUAGUAGUGGUGGAUAACGUCCGGAAACGGCCGCUAAUACCGCAUACGUACUGAGGGUGCAAGUGGGGGGUCGUCCGACCUCGCUCUACCAGAUGAUCCUGGGUUGGAUUACCUAGUUGGUGGGCGAAAGGCCUACCAAGGCGACGAUCCGUAACUGGUCUGAGAGGAUGAUCAGUGACACUGGGAGAGGAACACGGUCCAGACUCCUACGGGAGGAAGCAGUGGGGAAUAUUGGAAGGUGGGAGAAAGCAUGAUCCAGCCAUGCCGCGUGUGUGAAGAAGGUCUUCGGAUUGUAAAGCACUUGAAGUUGGGAGGAAGGACAGUAAGUUAAUACCUAGCUGUUUUGACGGUACCAACAGAAUAAGCACCGGCUAACUUCGUG
rnacentral:rRNA from 1 species